rnacentral:rRNA from 1 species
AUUGAACGCUGGCGGCAUGCCUUACACAUGCAAGUCGAACGGCAGCACGGGAGCAAUCCUGGUGGCGAGUGGCGAACGGGUGAGUAACAUAUAGGAACGUACCCAGUCGUGGGGGAUAACGUAGCGAAAGUUGCGCUAAUACCGCAUACGAUCUUUGGAUGAAAGCGGGGGAUCGCAAGACCUCGCGCGAUUGGAGCGGCCGAUAUCAGAUUAGGUAGUUGGUGAGGUAAGGGCUCACCAAGCCGACGAUCUGUAGCUGGUCUGAGAGGACGACAAGCCACACGGGGGCUGGGACACGGCCCAGACUCCUACGGGAGGCAGCAGUGGGGAAUUUUGUACAAUGGGCGCAAGCCUGAUCCAGCAAUGCCGCGUGCAGGACGAAGGCCUUCGGGUUGUAAACUGCUUUUGUACGGAACGAAACGGCCUUUUCUAAUACAAGAGGCUAAUGACGGUACCGUAAGAAUAAGCACCGGCUAACUACGUGCCAGCAGCCGCAGUAACAC